GCCCAUUUAGAGCAGUGGUGAGCUCGCUCGUCUCCGGAACGAGAAGUCAGGGGUUCGAAUCCCCUAAUGGGUG